rnacentral:rRNA from 1 species
AACACGUGGGUAACCUGCCCAUCAGAAGGGGAUAACACUUGGAAACUGGUGCUAAUACCGUAUAACAAUCAAAACCGCAUGGUUUUGAUUUGAAAGGCGCUUUCGGGUGUCUGCUGAUGGAUGGACCCGCGGUGUUUUAGCUAGUUGGUGAGGUAACGGCUCACCAAGGCCACGAUGCAUAGCCGACCUGAGAGGGUGAUCGGCCACAUUGGGACUGAGCCAGGUCCAAAUCCCAACCGGAGGCAGCAGUAGGGAAUCUUCCGGAAUGGACGAAAGUCUGACCGAGCUACGCCGCGUGAACAAAGAAGGUUUUCGGAUCGUAAAACUCUGUUGUUAGAGAAGAACAAGGAUGAGAGUAACUGUUCAUCCCUUGACGGUAUCUAACCAGAAAGCCACGGCUAACUACGUGCCAGCAGCCGCGGUAAUACGUAGGUGGCAAGCGUUGUCCGGAUUUAUUGGGCGUAAACCAGCGCAGGCGGUUUCUUAAGUCUGAUGUGAAAGCCCCCGGCUCAACCGGGGAGGGUCAUUGGAAACUGGGAGACUUGAGUGCAGAAGAGGAGAGUGGAAUUCCAUGUGUAGCGGUGAAAUGCGUAGAUAUAUGGAGGAACACCAGUGGCGAAGGCGGCUCUCUGGUCUGUAACUGACGCUGAGGCUCGAAAGCGUGGGGAGCAAACAGGAUUAGAUACCCUGGUAGUCCACGCCGUAUACG